CACGGAGGGGGCGAGCGUUAUUCGGAAUUACUGGGCGUAAAGGGUCCGCAGGCGGCCAUGCAGGUUCUGGGUGAAAUCCCUCGGCUUAACUGAGGAAUUGCCUGGAAAACCGCGUGGCUUGAGUUCGGUAGAGGGAGAUGGAAUUCCGGGUGUAGCGGUGAAAUGCGUAGAUAUCCGGAGGAACACCAGUGGCGAAGGCGAUCUCCUGGGCCGACACUGACGCUGAGGGACGAAAGCUAGGGGAGCAAACAGG
rnacentral:misc_RNA from 1 species